GCGUGGGGCGGGAGGGCUUCCAGCGGAGAGGUGGCCUGAGCACAGAGACGAUCGGAAGCCUGCCGCCUUCUGGGAGUUGUAGUUCAGCGUCCACCCGCCUGUACAGGGGGAGUCCCUCUCGGUGUGGACAGCGACCUUAGGAAGUGGAAGAAGAGGAAUUAGCCUGUGUGGGUCAGAGACGUGGCGCUCGGAUCCCGAGUCUUGCUGUCGUUACUGGACGGUCCGGGUAGGUCUGGGCCAGCCCUGAAGGUACCGGAAGUGCGCGCGGGUCUCUGGGAGAUGUAGUCUGACGCUCGCGGGCGCAGGCGCAGUCACGGGUUGUGGCGGCCACGGCCUUUAUCGUGCCUGUCCGCAGUGAGUGGGAGGCCCAACCGGCCUGGGCCUGCGAGCCUUCCCUGAGGUCCUGGCGCGGGCGGCGUUGGCCCGCGCGAGCGCGCGCGUGUGUCGUCCGUUCCGCCUCCUCAGGCUUGGGCGUCGUUUCGGGGCUGGCAGGGCCUGGACCGGGCUUGGGCCACAGGCCGGAGCCCUCUGCGACGCGUCAGCCGGACCCGCAGCCCCCUGCCCCGGGACGCUCUGUGGAGGGGAUGGCGUAGGCCGAGCCCCGACCGCGAGGCCAUCCUGGAGCCCGCCCUUCCUGAGCGGCUUCUGCCCCCAAGGGGAGAGGGGGGACACCGGGAGCCCGCGAUUUUAGCCCCAGUCUGGGACCCAGAAAGCAAACCUGGGCGCGCCGCCGGGGCCAGCCCGUACACCGACCGCGCGACCCCGCUGCCGACCCCCGGGGCCCGCGCGCCGCGGUGGGAAGCCCGGCUUCGCCUCUGCCCCGCAGCGCCCGGGGCGGGCGAGGAGGAGGAAGCCCCGGUCCCCGGCCUGCGGGGUUAGGGAGGCGCCUCUCACCUAGGGCCCUGGCACGGGCCUCUGCGGGGCGCUCCCCAGAGCAGACUUCCCGCCCAGAGCAGCAGCCCUCGCCGGUUUACCGGGGCCCUUAAUUCCUACAGUCCCCAUCAUGGCCUUCUACGCUGAAUGCGGGGCCAUUUUAUGGAAGAGGGCAACUGAGGCACACCAACGGGGGCCGGGGGACCCGAGCUCUUGGGCUUCCUGUCAGUAAAGCUGCUCCUGGAAAUGACCUGUGCAGCCUCUCUGGAGAAUGUGCCCAGCCUGCCCUCGGUUUCCCUACGCGGAGUGGGCAGGACAGUGCAGAGAGCACCCUCCACAGCACCAGUGCUGGGCCCAGCGCCCCACGUCCCACAGCCAGACCUUUUACCUGCACCCACGAGCUUUAGGCUUGGCAUCUCUGGUCACUGCAGAAACCACCCAGAGCUGGACCUGACUGUUCCCGCAAGAGGCCAGAAACACGGGGAAUGGCUGCUGGGCUCCUCAUCACCAGGGCGGGGGGUAGGUACGCUUCUGUCCUCUCAGGGCCCCACCUCGGAAGCCUGUUGUGCCUCAGCCUGUGCCCUGUCAUUCCCCUGCCAGGAGGGCACUCCAGCCAGCUCCACCUCUCUCCCCAGCUGCCUCCUCACCUGUAAUGGCAAACCUGAGGCCACGGAGUUCAUGGCCAGCACAGACCUUCCGGCUCCUAGUUGUGGUGCAAGAAGGUUAGGUGAAGGUGCUCGUCCUCUGGAGAUUCUGAUUCCAAGUUGGCACCUUGAAUGUGGCCAGCUCUGUGGGGAAAAGAGCUCCAGGGCAGGAGCAGAAACACAGAGACCUUUCCUGAUGGCCCUAAUCCUACCCACAAACCUGCUGGGAGGAACUAGCCUCUCUGGGGAGUAUUGGAAAACACAUGGAACAGGAAUUGCCCCAUGAACCCCACCUUUUCUGAAGACCAUGCAGUUACCCUAAUGUUUAAGUGCCCGAAAUUGAAGAGUGGGGUCCUGCUGGAAAGGGAUUUUCCCAGACCCUCCAGAUUGGGUCAGUGCAGAGAACUUAGUUGCAACGGGGCAUUGUAACCUAAGAUGUGAGGUUAACUAGUGGGAUUGUUCUGAUACCAACUCUGAGACUUUUCUCCAAAUUGUUGGAAGACAGGUGAGAGGCUGUUCCUACACCAAUGAGGAACAGGCCAUAGGAAACUCUGACCCCAACCUCCAGACCCCAUCUAGCCCAGCUGUUGUUCCCAUUCACCACCUGCCCCCACCAGCAGUUAGUGCCAGGUUUGACUCAGCUGAGGACACUCACGAUAUUUCAGGAGCAAGUGACCUUUGAGGACAUGGUUGUGGAUUUCACCCACGAGGAGUGGGGGCAACUAGAGCCUGCCCAGAGGACCCUGUACCAUGAUGUGAUGCUGGAGACCUUCACACUGCUGGUCUCUGUAGACUUAGAAACCAGACAAGAAAUCAGCCCUUCUGCCCCAAAGGAAAGCACCUCAGAAGAGCCGUCCAGCAGUGUUGUUCUGGUGCAGACUCCUGCGGGGUAGUGUGUGGCCCUUCCAGGGGAGGACACCGCAGGUCCCUGGGAGUGGAGUCCUGAGAGGCGCGAGCCGGGAGACGUGGCAGCCCUCAAGCCUGGGGGAAGGGGUCUGGGGGAGCCUUGUGUCCUAGCCCUGAUCUCCCACCUCAUCCAGCGACUCCUGAACAGCCAGGUCCCCACAUGUGGAGAACACCCAGAAAGAGGCAGAAGCUGGACUCAAAGGUAAAUGCACAACAGAAAAUCUGUGCAAAAGAGAAACUCUGCAGAUGCCGGGAAUGUGAAGAGCCUGGCCAAUGUCGCCGGUGUGGAAAAGGCUUCCGGAACAGCUCUGCGCUCACCAAGCACUGGAGGGUACCCCCCCCCCCCCCCCCGGGAAGAAGCCCUAUCGGUGCCCUCGGUGUGGCCGGACCUUCAACUAGAUGGCCCCGCUGACCCAGCACAGGAGGACGCACGGGGCGCCAAGCCCCACGCGUGCGGGGACCGUGGGAAGGCUUCGGUUUCAGCCGGUCCCUCUCCCAGCACCAGCGCGCGCACUCGGGCCACAAGCCCUCCGCCUGCCGCAAGUGCGGCAAGACCUUCAGCCGGGCCACCCAACUUGUCCAGCACCAGGGGGUCCACCCCGGGAGAGGCCGAACGAAUGCAGCCAGUGCGCGCGGCAGCGCCUUCAGCCAGAGCCACCGUCUCGUCGGGCACCGCAGGACCCGCGGGGGGGGGGAAGCCCGAGGCGUGCUGCGGCCACCUCCUCCCCGGGGAAGCCCUGCGCCUGCGGGGACUGAGGGAAGGCCUUCGCCCACAGCUCCUCCCCGACCCAGCACCCAGAACUCUCACUGGGGAGACGGCUGCAUGGGUGCUGGGGACAGGGGAGGCCUUAAGCCACAGCUCGUCCCACUCAGACUCGGCCUGUUCCUUCUCACAAGAUGCAGCACCCACUCCUCGUUCUCAGACGGAAAUGCCUAGCGCCACCAAGGGUUAGGUUCUAAACAGCAGGGAAAGGUGGAAACCAUCAACCUUGAGGACCCUGAGCCUCGAGAAGAGAAGAGAAAAAAGGAAUGUCUGGGCCUGGUGAUGCCACGCGUCCAAGCAUUCAACAGACUGAACCAGAGAUUCAAAGGCCUGAGAAAUUCAACAGACACCUUUCAGGUAAGAAAACCAAAUGAAGUCAGAAUUUGCUGUUGUUUACAUUAUAUUCUUUCUUAAAGGGAUGUUUAUGAAUAUUCAGGUUGACUCUGAUAAUCCUAAAGAACAGCAGCAUGUUCCAAAAAUGAGAAUGGCAUUUUUGUGGAAUCCCUUGGAUACUUGUCUUUGACAGUACAAAGCUGGUUUGUGUGUAAGUUGCUUGUUCUGGGUAUGUAACAGCCAAUCCCAGACACUUCUAAUUCCAUAUGCCAAUGUAUCAGCAUACUAUAAACAGAAUUUACAUCCCUCAUCUCGUUUUGCAAUUUAAUUUCUAUGUGCAAUGGGAUUGAAAAGCUGUGUAUGGGAAGACUUGAAACAUAAAGCUGCUUCCAUGGAAUGUCUCAAGAUUCUGAGAGGGCUUUGCUGCAGGACUCACAGUCAUUAGAAAUGCUGAUAUUACGAAAAGGGGAGGGUUUACUCCUUUGUUCAGCCAUCAUCUCAUGCUCAGUGGCACUUCACAUUGGUACUCUGUUUUGUUCUAAGAUUUCUCUUUGAGGAAGUGUUCAAGUUAAUCUUUUCUUGAAAUGUGUCCUCAUUGAUUCUUCAUCCUGGUAUUCUACUCCCCCCACCCCAUUCAUUAAGUUUCUAUUUUUAUGUUUAAUUUAAAAGCUCACAGUAUUUCAUUAAACCCUGGAUCCACAAAUAGCAGUAUUCCUGACAACUACAACCAUGACAUGGCUGUUGCCUUCUUCAUCAGAAAUAGCCUCGGGCACGGUGACGCACACCUGUAAUCCCAGUGACUCUGGAAGCUGAUGCAGGAGGAUUAUAAGUUCAAGAUCAGCCUGGGCAACUUUAGCAAGACCCUGUCUGAAAAUAAAAAAUAAAAAGGGCAGGGGAUGUGGUUUACUAGUAAAGCACCCCUGGGUCCCCCAGUAAUGGGGGGGGCGGGGGGAAUAAUUGCAUUGUUUGGUUUGGGUCCUGGGUGGUAAUCAGUUGUGCUUGCAUCAGUCUGAUUUCCUCAAUCACUGCGCUAGCAUAUAAAUUCCUAGUGAACUUGAAAUUGCUUCUGGGGGAAAAUGUUGCAAAUAGUCUUUCAACACUGCUCCUUGUGAAAAGCCUUUUGGGAAUUAAUUUCACUUUCCUUGUAGUUGUUUGCAGUGCUGGGGGUGGAACCCAAGACUUCAUGAAUAUUAAACAAGGACUCUACCAGUGGGCUGCAUGCAUCCCCAGUCCUUCACUGUCCUUUAAAAGCUGCAAAAGCCUGCCAACAGAACCACUGCAAGCUAUCUGGGUAACUGUAUUAAAAUAUUCUGGUCCCAUUCCAAAAGCAAGAAGUGGGCACAAUGUGCACACCUGUAAUUCCAGUUACUGAGGCGGCUGAGGCAGGGCGAUCAAAGUUUGUGACCAGCUUUGGCAACUUGAUAAGACUGUCUCAAAAAUUAAUCAAAGGGUUGAGGAUGUAGCUCUGUGAUAGAGCACCCCUGGGUUCCAUCAAAAAAAGAAAAAUAGAAAUAGAUAAAAUUAGCUCAAUAUGUACCCCCCUACAUGCACCACAUUUCCAUUCUGACAUGUCAGUAUUAAAAAACUGAGAUACUUUACUUCUCUAGUGUGUACUUAUACUCAGUGCCUCCGAGUUCACUAGCCACACUUCAGGUGCUCCCUUCACAUGUGGCUGGCCAGUGGCAGCAUGGUGACUUAGGUCCUCUGGUCAGCUUCUUGACCUUCCCUUUGUGAUGGGAAGCCUUGCUUUCUCUGAGUUGAUUAGUACCUCGAUAAGUUGCUGAGGCUGGCCAUCUUCCUGCCUCAGCCUCCCGAGGGACUGGGAUUACAGGUGUGCGCGGGCCCGUCUUCAAAGAAGGCAGAUGUGCUGGGUGUGUUGGUGCUCAGGAGACUGAGGCAGAAGGAUCAUGAAUUCAAAGCCAGCCUCAGCAAGGCUGAGUGGGAAUGAGGGUUGGAAGAGUCUAUUUAGGCUUUUUUUAUUGCCAGAACCACACUUGGUUUGAGGACAGGCAGAGGGGAAUGUGGCUCAGUAACUGGUAGAGAUGGGUACCUGGGCCCUUAUGAGUGAGGGGCCCACAGUCUCAUUUCCCUUCAAGGACUGGAGAGCGGAAGCGGAUCCCUGGGUUACAGCAAGAAGCAGGGGCCCCUCCCACCAACACACAUAGGCAACAGUCAGGAUGUCCAGCUGUAAUGUGAGUGAAGAAAUAAAUACUUUAUUACGUCAAGUCUGUGACUCGGGGGUUGUUACACAAUUGCUGGCUCAAACACAGUGACAGAAAGAGGCACCGUUUAUCUACAGGAGCAAUUAAAUUUAUGCUCAGGCAACAGAAACAAUACUAUAAUCUGAGAUUAAAUGCAAAAUCAAGACACCUCACGGAGCCCAAGGAGUUAAGUUCCCUUUGCUCAGGCAGACAGAAGCUUCCUCAACCUUUGUUAGUGUUUCCAACCUACUGCAAUCACCCCCUGGUAAGAGACAUCCUACAUAGAAGCCAAUUCUCACAUUUAGAUACACAGCUGGAACUCCACAAAAUGAUACUGCCUUCACUACGUGAUGCAUUCUGACCUACUUUAUUCUACUUCAUUGCUUGGUAAUGCCGUUGGCCACCCACUAGUUUGAUUUCACAAUUCACUGAUGGGCUGGAACCCAUAGUCAGAAAACUGCAUACUAGGCUCCAAGCAUUUCGGUGAUCUUCGUAAGCCACUCCGUAUAGGUAAAGACGCAUGAGUGGAACAAGGAAAUAGUUUCAGCUUUUCAGGAUUCAAAAGUGAACUUGACGUCACAUAUUUACGAAAGGCCAGAACAUCUGGCAAGAAUUCUGCCUGAACAAACUUGGGGAGCUCAAACAGGAGCAGUGGAAGUGAAGACUCCAAGACUGCCCACAGAACACGCACACCGGGGACUCGAACUGCACAAUGGCCACGGCCGGCACACGGAGGUAUACACGUGGCUGCAGGACAGUGGGGUCGGGGUUUCCCGUGGUGGAUGAGGUGGGGUUUUCCGUGGGUGCUCUGGCCACAUCAGCCCAUUUGGGAAACAAGCUGAUGUUUGUCCAAAGACCACAGGAAGACCACCCCCAAGUGUCUGGAAGGAGCCCCCAUACAUUCUGAGAUUCCCCGCCAGUCACUGUCACCUCAAGGGACACUGGCCUGGUGGCUUGUCUCCAGGCCUCAGGCCCACCCUCCCCCCAGAGUGAACUCACUGUGGCAGGGCGGGGCCAGGUGCAGAAUGGCUCCUGGGGAUUCCAGUGCUGGCCGGCAGGGCCUGUCUAGCAGCCCUGGCAGGCGCACAGCUUCUUGCUGCCGUGGCUCCUGUGAUGCUCCAUGAGGUGCGAGAUCCACGCAAAGGCCUCCCCACACUCACUGCAGGGGUAGGGCUUCCCUCCCGACACUCCAGGCUCCUCGGCCUCAGGACUGCCUGAGGCAGAGGUGCCCGCCUCCUGCCCAGCUGGGGGCGUGGCAGCACGGCCAUCUGCGUCAGGCUGCAUGGCGUCCCCAGGCUGCUGGCUGCUCUGGCUGGAGGCACACUCGGGUCCCUGCUCACCCUCAUCCUCUGGGUGGGGCCGCUUGGUCCCAGAGCCUUGUUGUGGGCUGUCUGGACUCGCCUGGCCCUGGUCUUCUUCUGAAGGGCAGGGGACUCUUUGCUUCUGGGAGGGGCUGACGCAGCCUGAAUCCUCACCCACAGUGUCUGGCGCCUUCUCGGGCUGCUCCUCCUCCUGGUUGGUAUCCAUUGGGGGGUCUGCAGGAGUGUCCCCUGCGUCCCCUGCCAGCCUCUCUGAUGGCGUUUCCUGUGAGCCACUGUCCUGGCCUGCGGAGCCCUCCUCGCACAUGUUCUCUGUGCUUUCUUCCUGCUUCCCGCUGCCUGAAAUAAGGUCCACGUGUGAGCAGCCCUGACUAAGCGCUCAGGCCUGGACACUGCCCACGCCGCACUAAGGAAAGAAGGCCUGAGCAAGGAGGGGAAAGGGUGUGGGACACGAGGCCCUGACCUGGCGGCCUCUGUCACCCUCUUCCAGCUCCCUGCUACCUGAAAGAAAUGGCCCCUCCUAGCAGCCAAGGGCCGUGUGACCACCAGCAUAAGCAGGCAGUGAGCAGGGCCUUCUCCACCCUGCUGCUGGGGAAGUGACCCCAGGAGCAGCCACCCUGACUGCAGGAGGACUGGCAUGGAGGCCACACAGCCGUGGUGUCGGGGAAUGAGGGCCAGAAAGCCCUGCAAAAGCCCACUGGCUGCACGGGGCCUAAACUCCUGCCCCAGAGCCAGACCUUUGGGCUCUCCACACGGCCGUGGCCUUGUGCCCAGGGACAUCAGCAUGCAGGAGGCCAGCAGAGCCUCAACAAGUGCUUAUACUCCUCGAGUGCACCCCCAAAACCCAGCUGCUGACCUGGGGAGGCCCGGCUAGCACUGGGAGAGACCAUGGAGAGUCUCCCCAGGUAGGGAGACUCCAGCCCCAGGUAGGUUCCAGGUGGCCACAGAGGUCCAUGCGGCCCUGAAGACCAAGUGGCCACAGCACAGCUCAGCCCAGCAGCCCACACCUCACAAGUAAUUCUGCUGUUCUUUCUGGUGACCAAGUUUUAGGGCGGUUGUCACGCAGCAAGAGAUCCCUAAGAAAUGAUGCCUGCUUCCUGCUCCAACACAGGUGAAGCCAAAGCUGGGGGGGUGGGGGAGGGCACCUGCCUGAAAGCAAGGUGCAUGCUCUACCCUGCUCACCACUUUCUAAGGUGCCCUUACCUGGGAGGCUGCCUCCAGGUGCCUCUCCUUCCACAAGGGGCUGCUCCUCUGCCUCCAGACUAGAUGCAGCAUCAGGCUGGGCAAACUGGUACCCUGAGGUUCAACAGACAAAGCAGCUCUUAAGAGGACCAACACAGAAAGCAGCCGGCCUCACUCCCCUAGGCUGGCGGGCCAGGACCAAGCCCCUGGAAAGCUAGGGUUCCAAGAAUAAGGCAGGCGGAGGAAGAAGAGGCUGUGCCUGGGUGAGGCUGGAGGGCCCACAACCUGGGUGGUAAACGAGUCUGAGGGGAAGCAAAUCAAACAUGUAGGAACAUAAAACUGGCUGGGGGCGUCGCUCAGCGGUGGAGCAUGUGUUUACUGUGCAGGAAGCCCCGGGCCAGCCCCCAGCACAAAUGAAAAAACAAAAUCAGAACCACAAAGGGCUCAGGAAGCCCCCUGCAAAGGAGGGCUCUGUGGCACCAACUUUUACCAAACAGACCCUUCACCAGGCCCACAGGCUGAGAAGCCUCAUCUCUGCACCACAAAGUGGGGAGCACUGGCGGUUGGAAGCUGGGAGAGCUUUCUCAAUUCAGAGGCUUCCAAUCCCGCAGGCAGGGGCUGCAAGUGGAACCCAGGACCCAGGCAGAACUCAGGUAAGGGUGGGACCUUGGCAAACCAGGCCAAGUUCAGACAUUUAAAACAUCCCCAGUGUCCCAAGGAAGCCCCCAGGAUGGGGUCAGAAUCUCCCACCCAUCGGGGAGCGCGGGCUGUGGGAGGCGAGCCUCACCCCACAGGAGCAGCUUCCUGUAGCUCUUCAUGUUCUCCUCUGCAGGAUCCAGGUGGGCCCACUCCUCAGAGUGCAGAGGUUCCUCCGGAAAGGACGGCUGGAACAGAAAGGCAAGGCGGCCCUCGCUGAGGCUUCCACCCAACCCCACGGAGGGCAGGCGGGAGACCCUCCCUGCACUGCAGGGGCAACGCCCUCCUGUGGGUCCUACCCUCAGGUCUCCACCAAAGCAGGCUUCCUGGCCUUGGCAGUGGGCAUUCAGGGUCCUAAUCCUUGCUGUGGGGGAGUUCAUGCCCUGGGAGGGAACAGCAUCCAGGGCCAGGAGGGACGGACCCUGUGAGCAGGUCAGCCCCAGCACACCCAAGGGCCCCCACCCACCGUCGGCUGCGCUUUGGCCUCGUCGGUCUUCUCUCCCCCGUUGCUCCCCUGAUCCAGGAGCAUGGGUUCCAGCGCAGGCCAGGCUGGGAGAAGGCAGGGCAGCGCUGCAGGGAGACAUGCUGUCACUGCACGACUCAGAGUGGCCAGGCAGACCUGCGGCCCCCUCACAGGUCCCAGCACACUCACACCACGCAGGCCUGCACCUCACGGGGCAGAGCCACCACAAAAGUGCCAGCUCACGCCAUGGAGGAGGCAGUGCCUUCUGCUGCCCUCCAGACGGGCAGGGACCUGGCACGGUACCAGCGCAGGGCCGACGGGCAGGGCAGGCACAGCCUGUGCACCAGAGCAGCUGUGGAGACCACACAGGCACUAUCUGCAGUUCCUUGCCCCGAGGGCAGGGUCACCGGGCUGCACAGGGGGUGCCAGGCAGCCAAGGAGCCAGCGACCACAGCCCAGGGAGGACCGCCCCAUGAGCAGUGAGCACUGUUUUCCAGGAGACAAGCAGCCGACUCUGCAAGCAUGCGCAACGUGCAGAAAGGCACAGAGGGGCCAGAAUCCAGGAUGUCUGGGUGAAGCCACUUCAUUGUACCUGCUGGCCAACAAUGGCCAAGCUAACAGACACGGGCAGGCCAUAGUUCGCCUGCAUCUGCAUGUCCUCCCAGGACCUGGGCCUGAAGAUCUGAGCCAGCAGGAGGAAGAACUCCCAGACACCACCACGAGGAGCAAAUAAGAAGCUAUCUACCAGAAGACAGCUGCCCUUGGAACCACAGAAACAAUCGCAUCUUUUGAGGAAUUCAAGAGAAAACCGUGCAUGGGGACUGCUGGGGACUGAGAGCUGCUGACCUUUGCCAAGUCAAGUCAGAUCUGUCCGAUACACUUUCCCACGAGCAUGCAGGCCCGAGGGUCUCGUGGGCAGGCUGGGGGUGCUCAAUUCUACUGAGAGCAUCUGUCCAGCACAGGUGAAUGCAGAGACAGGAAGUGGAUCAGUGAUUUCUGGGGACCGUGAUUUUCAAGGUAGGAAACGACUAUUAAUGGUUAUAGGAUUUCUUUCUUGGGUGAUAAAAAUGUACUGAAAUUAACUGGUAACAGGCACACAACUCUGUGAAUCACUAAAAACCAAUCAAUGGUCCACUUUAAAGAGGUGAACUUUAUGGUACAUAAAUUAUACCUCAAUAAAGUUGUUUUAAAAAAAGAAAAGCUAGGCACAGUGCUUGCACACCUGUAAUCCCAGCUACUCAGGAGGCUUAGGCAG